GCGAACGCUGGCGGCAGGCCUAACACAUGCAAGUCGAACGAACUCUUCGGAGUUAGUGGCGGACGGGUGAGUAACACGUGGGAACGUGCCUUUAGGUUCGGAAUAACUCAGGGAAACUUGUGCUAAUACCGAAUGUGCCCUUCGGGGGAAAGAUUUAUCGCCUUUAGAGCGGCCCGCGUCUGAUUAGCUAGUUGGUGAGGUAAAGGCUCACCAAUGCGACGAUCAGUAGCUGGUCUGAGAGGAUGAUCAGCCACAUUGGGACUGAGACACGGCCCAAACUCCUACGGGAGGCAGCAGUGGGGAAUCUUGCGCAAUGGGCGAAAGCCUGACGCAGCCAUGCCGCGUGAAUGAUGAAGGUCUUAGGAUUGUAAAAUUCUUUCACCGGGGACGAUAAUGACGGUACCCGGAGAAGAAGCCCCGGCUAACUUCGUG
rnacentral:rRNA from 1 species